rnacentral:rRNA from 1 species
UACGUAGGGUGCAAGCGUUGUCCGGAAUUAUUGGGCGUAAAGAGCUCGUAGGCGGUCUGUCGCGUCGGCUGUGAAAACCCGGAGCUCAACUCCGGGCCUGCAGUCGAUACGGGCAAACUGGAGUGUUGCAGGGGAGACUGGAAUUCCUGGUGUAGCGGUGAAAUGCGCAGAUAUCAGGAGGAACACCGGUGGCGAAGGCGGGUCUCUGGGCAACAACUGACGCUGGGGAGCGAAAGCGUGGGGAGCGAACAGG